GUGCUAGCUUUGGCAGCACACACACUAAAAUUGGAACGAUACAGAGAAGAUUAGCAUGGCCCCUGCACAAGGAGGACACACAAAUUCAUGAACUGUUCCAUAUUUUU
rnacentral:snRNA from 1 species